UACGGGGGGGGUAAGCGUUGUUCGGAAUUACUGGGCGUAAAGGGCUCGUAGGCGGCCAACUAAGUCGGACGUGAAAUCCCUCAGCUUAACUGGGGAACUGCGUCUGAUACUGGAUGGCUUGAGUUUGGGAGAGGGAUGCGGAAUUCCAGGUGUAGCGGUGAAAUGCGUAGAUAUCUGGAGGAACACCGGUGGCGAAGGCGGCAUCCUGGACCAACACUGACGCUGAGUGAGCGAAAGCCAGGGGAGCAAACGGG
rnacentral:rRNA from 1 species